rnacentral:lncRNA from 1 species
CACCAUAUGUCUAUAAGAGUCCACCACCACCCUCUCCAUCACCACCACCUCCAUAUGUCUACAAGUCUCCUCCUCCACCAUCACCCUCACCUCCCCCACCAUAUGUUUACAAGUCACCACCACCUCCAUCCCCUUCACCUCCUCCUCCAUAUGUCUACAAGUCACCACCACCACCAUCCCCAUCUCCACCACCUCCAUAUAUUUACAAGUCCCCACCACCACCAUCCCCAUCACCCCCUCCACCAUAUAUAUACAAGUCUCCUCCUCCACCAUCACCCUCCCCUCCCCCACCAUAUGUAUAUAAAUCACCACCACCCCCAUCUCCAUCCCCCCCUCCACCAUAUGUCUACAAGUCACCACCUCCACCAUCCCCAUCUCCACCACCUCCAUAUGUCUACAAAUCUCCACCCCCACCAUCACCUUCACC